UCCGAGGUCCAGGACUCGGCCGCGCGAUAGGCAUAAUUCGAACUUAAAAAAACAAAAAAAAAAAGAGCUUUUUCAUUUGUUUUUUUUUUCCAUUCUCUUUGGUAUAACCCUAAAAGGUCUUUUAAUUGUUAUUUGUGAGAAGAAGAGAGGAAAAGUGAGAGAGAGGAAGGAAAACAAGAGGCCAUAGGUUUGCAAUCAGCAAGGAAGAAGAGCAUCAAGGAGACCACAAAUCACAUUGGGGAGGCCAUAGGCUUGCAUUGAGAGCAUCAAGGAGUCCAAAGCAAGACUUCUCAACUCAUUUGAAAGAGCUUUCACGUUUAAAAAACAUUCAUUUUUCACAAUGCCUAAAAAGGAUGAGGCUUGGAAAUAUACUGAAGACUUUAUUGGCAGACAAAAAAAUCAAACAAAAUGUUUUUUUUGUAAAGAAAUUAAUUUUGGUGGCAUCAAUAGAUUUAAAUACCAUAUUGCCGGCAUACCUGGCCAUGAUAUUGAGGUAUGCAAAUUACAAACUCCUGAGGCAAAACGUUUCUGUUAUGUCCAAUUAGAAACACAUGAACAAGAAAAGUUAACUAAGAAGAGGCAAUUGGAAGAGUUAAGUGCUAUUGGCUCCCAUGCACCCACAUCCGCAUCUGCAUCCGCAUCCGCAUCCGCAUCCACAUCCGUAGGCUGUGUUGGAGAGGGUUCUUCCAUGCCUCCCUUUCACCCUAGUGCUUUUGCUAGUGCUAGUGCUUCUGCUAGUGCUAGUGCUUCUACUUCUACUCCUCCUGGUGGCACUAUUACCUUUGGCCCUAGAGUUCGGAAAUCCAGGUUGGAUAGUUAUUUUGUGCCGCGUAGUACUCCUGGGGCACAACCCUCGCUUGAGGGUAUGGGUUGGAACAAGGAGGUUCAUGAUGCUGCAAGAAAACAAAUUUGCAAGUUUUGGUACUUUUGCAACAUUCCAUUUAUUGCAGCCAGGUCUCCUUAUUGGCAAGGCAUGGUAGAUUCCAUAACCAUUUGUGGUGCGGGGUUUAAAGCCCCUACCGAUGUUGAGUUAAGUGGCCCCCUCUUGUUACAAAUGGUUGAGGAUAUGAAAGUUGAGCUAGAGGACCACUGACAGUCUUGGAGAGAAAAGGGUUGCACCAUCAUGACAGAUGGUUGGACGGAUAGGAGGAAUAGAACACUCCUAAAUUUUCUUGUUUCCUGCGGAGGAUCUACCAUGUUCUUGAAAUCUAUUGAUGCUUCCUCACAUGUGAAAAAUGCCACAUACUUAUGUGAGGCUAUUGAGGAAGUCAUACAAGAGGUGGGGGAAGAAAAUGUGGUGCAGGUGGUGACAGAUAAUGCAGCAAGUUAUGUUGCUGCAGGUAAACUUUUGAUGGAGAGGCACCCGAAAAUUUUUUGGUCUCCUUGUGCGGCCCAUUGCCUUGACCUCAUGUUGGAGGAUAUUGGUAAGCUUGAAUGGGUGAAAUCAAUAGUUGAAAGGGCCAAAUAUAUCAGCAAGUUUAUCUACAAUCAUGCAUUGGUCCUUAGCAUUAUGAGGCAAUA